CGUCGGGGGUGGCUUAUACUUGCAAGUCUAACGGAGAGUUUUGUAGCAAUACGGAGCUUCUCAGUGGCGAACGGGCGAGUAACGAGUUGGUGACCUGCCCCGAAGUGUGGGAUAACAGUCCGAAAGGAUUGCUAAUACCGCAUGUGAUCAUUGGUCUUAGAAUCUGAUGAUUAAAGCAGUAAUGCGCUUCGGGAGGGGCCUGCGUCCGAUUAGCUCGUUGGUGGGGUAACGGCUCACCAAGGCGACGAUCGGUAGGUGGUCUGAGAGGACGAUCACCCAGACUGGGACUGAGACACGGCCCAGACUCCUACGGGAGGCAGCAGUCGGGAAUUUUGCACAAUGGGCGAAAGCCUGAUGCAGCAACGCCGCGUGAGGGAUGAAGGCCUUCGGGUUGUAAACCUCUUUUCUCAGGGACGAUGAUGGCGGUACCUGAGGAAUAAGCCACGGCUAACUACGUGCCAGCAGCCGCGGUAAUACGUAGGUGGCAAGCGUUGUCCGGAUUUACUGGGCGUAAAGAGCGCGCAGGCGGUCGUUCAAGUCGAAUGUGAAAGCCCCCGGCUCAACUGGGGAGGGUCAUUCGAUACUGAUCGACUCGAAGGCAGGAGAGGGAAGCGGAAUUCCCGGUGUAGUGGUGAAAUGCGUAGAUAUCGGGAGGAACACCAGUGGCGAAAGCGGCUUCCUGGCCUGUUCUUGACGCUGAGGCGCGAAAGCCAGGGGAGCAAACGGGAUUAGAUACCCCCGGUAGUCCUGGCUGUAAACGAUGGACACUAUGUGUUGGUUGUAUCAACCCCCGCCCAGUGCCGUAGCUAACGCAUUAAGUGUUCCCGCCUGGGGAGUACCGCCCGCCAAGGCUUAAUACUCCUAAGGAAUUGAUACGGGGGGACCCCGCGCCUCCAAGUA
rnacentral:rRNA from 1 species